rnacentral:lncRNA from 1 species
UUUUAUCGGUCUUCAUCUAGUGGCCAGGACAGAGGGAAAAGAGAGAACAGAACAGAUAUUUUGUUUUUUUGCCAUUACCUGGUUUGUUUUGGGUGGUUUGUUAUGGUAUUAGAGGUAAGUAGAGUAAUAUAUUCUUCUAAAUAGGUAAUUACUGCAUCUGUUUAGCAAAUACCUAAUUUCAACGUCCUGGUUUUCCUUCCAGCACAAGAAUGUUUAAUUAAGCAACACCAGGCAUCAGCGAGUCUGAGAGACACUUUUGUUUUCUUGAACAUGCAGGAUACACACAUAUAUCUAUGGGAACUUAGUCCUGUUAAACUCUUCAAAUUUUUUUGAAAUUUUUCUUCAGCACAGCAGAAGCUUUUCUCUGAACAAAAGGCACUUCUCUCAACAUUCACCGAGCCUCUUCUGCACACCCACAGGCAUUAACAGCAUUUCAUACCAGGUGGAAUUGAGCCUGGAGCGUGUGAGAACCGUGAUCAAUCAGAAUUAAAAAGGGGACAAUGCAGGAGUCUGGAAUACUGAUGUUUCCCAUUUGUCUGUGUACACAAGGAACACAUCUUUCAGCAGUGUGGGAUGACAAGUUACCAGAAGAAGUUGUGAAUUUUCCAUUUCUCCAGCUGUCUAAGUAAGGACUCACCUGUGUGACAGAUAGGAGCCCAGAAAAUCUGUUCCUCACCUCUCAUGCAUCCAAACUCAUCAAACACCUUUGGGGUGCUGCAAUAAGCCUGAGACCUUCAGUACUGGAGAUUACACCUGGCAGAGAAUACAGUGGCCACGGGAAAAGUUGGCACAAAGGCUCUGAAGAAUGUGGCAUACGACAAAGAGAACACCAAAAUCUGCUGUGCCAUAUGAUCAGCUCACACUGCAGUGGGCAUGUUCCUGGCUCCACAAAGCUUCACAGCCACUGCACUAUUCCCUGCUUCCUGAUGAGAAUUGUGCCUUUGCUUUAACUGUCUG